rnacentral:rRNA from 1 species
AUUGAACGCUGGCGGCAGGCCUAACACAUGCAAGUCGAACGCGUGGCGGACGGGUGAGUAAUGUCUGGGAACCUGCCCGAUGGAGGGGGAUACCUACUGGAAACGGUACCUAUUACCGCAUACCAUUGGAUGUGCCCAGGUGGGAUUCGGUAGUAGGUGGGGUAACGGCUCACCUAGGACACGAUCCCUAGCUGGUCUGAGAGGAUGACCAGCCACACUGGAACUGAGACACGGUCCAGACGCCUACGGGAGGCAGCAGUAGGGAAUAUUGCACAAUGGGCGAAAGCCUGAUGGAGCAAUGCCGCGUGAAUGAAGAAGGCCUUCGGGUUGUAAAGUACUGUCAUCGGGGAAGCGGUACCCACAGAAGAAGCACCGGCUAACUCCGUGCCAGCAGCCGCGGUAAUAC